rnacentral:rRNA from 1 species
GAUAAACGCUGGCGGCGUGCCUAAUACAUGCAAGUCGAGCGAACGGACGAGAAGCUUGCUUCUCUGAUGUUAGCGGCGGACGGGUGAGUAACACGUGGAUAACCUACCUAUAAGACUGGGAUAACUUCGGGAAACCGGAGCUAAUACCGGAUAAUAUUUUGAACCGCAUGGUUCAAAAGUGAAAGACGGUCUUGCUGUCACUUAUAGAUGGAUCCGCGCUGCAUUAGCUAGUUGGUAAGGUAACGGCUUACCAAGGCAACGAUGCAUAGCCGACCUGAGAGGGUGAUCGGCCACACUGGAACUGAGACACGGUCCAGACUCCUACGGGAGGCAGCAGUAGGGAAUCUUCCGCAAUGGGCGAAAGCCUGACGGAGCAACGCCGCGUGAGUGAUGAAGGUCUUCGGAUCGUAAAACUCUGUUAUUAGGGAAGAACAUAUGUGUAAGUAACUGUGCACAUCUUGACGGUACCUAAUCAGAAAGCCACGGCUAACUACGUGCCAGCAGCCGCGGUAAUACGUAGGUGGCAAGCGUUAUCCGGAAUUAUUGGGCGUAAAGCGCGCGUAGGCAGUUUUUUAAGUCUGAUGUGAAAGCCCACGGCUCAACCGUGAAGGGUCAUUGGAAACUGGAAAACUUGAGUGCAGAAGAGGAAAGUGGAAUUCCAUGCGUAGCGGUGAAAUGCGCAGAGAUAUGGAGGAACACCAGUGGCGAAGGCGACUUUCUGGUCUGUAACUGACGCUGAUGUGCGAAAGCGUGGGGAUCAAACAGGAUUAGAUACCCUGGUAGUCCACGCCGUAAACGAUGAGUGCUAAGUGUUAGGGGGUUUCCGCCCCUUAGUGCUGCAGCUAACGCAUUAAGCACUCCGCCUGGGGAGUACGACCGCAAGGUUGAAACUCAAAGGAAUUGACGGGGACCCGCACAAGCGGUGGAGCAUGUGGUUUAAUUCGAAGCAACGCGAAGAACCUUACCAAAUCUUGACAUCCUUUGACAACUCUAGAGAUAGAGCCUUCCCCUUCGGGGGACAAAGUGACAGGUGGUGCAUGGUUGUCGUCAGCUCGUGUCGUGAGAUGUUGGGUUAAGUCCCGCAACGAGCGCAACCCUUAAGCUUAGUUGCCAUCAUUAAGUUGGGCACUCUAAGUUGACUGCCGGUGACAAACCGGAGGAAGGUGGGGAUGACGUCAAAUCAUCAUGCCCCUUAUGAUUUGGGCUACACACGUGCUACAAUGGACAAUACAAAGGGCAGCGAAACCGCGAGGUCAAGCAAAUCCCAUAAAGUUGUUCUCAGUUCGGAUUGUAGUCUGCAACUCGACUACAUGAAGCUGGAAUCGCUAGUAAUCGUAGAUCAGCAUGCUACGGUGAAUACGUUCCCGGGUCU